CUCCUCCUAUUCCUCUACGCCUUCUGUGAAAUUAUUAAUCUUCGUGUUCAAGUGUUUUUCGCAGAUGUGUUUCUUCGUCGAUAAUUAUACAGUGAGGAAUAUAAACAAUAUGUGGAUGUUGUAAAACCCUCGCUGGACCACUGGAUAGCUUCUUCGAUUGGUUUGCCACGACCAUGUGCCACGUCGAGACGUAUGCAGUUCUGAAGUCCUCGUCCUCUAGUUAUGACCAAGGGCUUACUUUGAUGUAUUCAGCAUCGUUGUGUGUGAUUGAGCCCAAGUGGAGUCCUAGCUUGAUGUGUCGUAUAAUUGGCUCCUUUAUCUGCAACUUGCUCUUGUGGUGAACGUCGUCGUCACUUCCACUUAUAUGCCUCUCUGGACAAUAACAGGACAGAGUGGUUACGAACUAAACAUAUUCACUGAAAAGGACUUUCUCGCUUCGUCUACGUUUUGGAUGAGGUCCUUUCGUCGACAGGAAUUCCAUUUAACUAUAUAGCGGUCUAACAUACGAAUGUACUAUUUGGCUUGCCACCUUCAGCGUGUUUGUUGUUAAUUGUAAGGUGUUAAUAAUUAUAUUAAUCUGUAUGUUAA